rnacentral:rRNA from 1 species
GACGGAGGGUGCUAGCGUUGUUCGGAAUUACUGGGCGGAAAGGGCGCGUAGGCGGCCAUUUGAGUCGGUUGUGAAAGCACGGGGCUCAACCCCGGAACGGCAGCCGGGACUGGGUGGCUCGAGACCGGGAGAGGAGGGUGGAAUACCCAGUGUAGUGGUGAAAUUCGUAGAUAUUGGGUGGAACACCGGUGGCGAAAGCGGCUCUCUGGCCCGGUUCUGACGCUGAGGAGCGAAAGCGUGGGGAGCAAACAGG